rnacentral:rRNA from 1 species
ACAGAGAAGUGCUUGCACUUUCAAAGUUAGCGGCGGACGGGUGAGUAACACGUAAGGAACCUACCGAUAAGCGGGGGACAACAUCCGGAAACGGGUGCUAAUACCGCAUAGGAAGUUUGUUCGCAUGAACAAACUUAGAAAGAUGGCUCUGCUAUCACUUAUCGAUGGCCUUGCGGUGCAUUAACUAGUUGGCGAGGUAACGGCUCACCAAGGUGAUGAUGCAUAGCCGACCUGAGAGGGUAAUCGACCACAUUGGGACUGAGACACGGCCCAAACUCCUACGGGAGGCAGCAGUAGGGAAUCUUCCGCAAUGGACGCAAGUCUGACGGAGCAACGCCGCGUGAGUGAAGAAGGUUUUCGGAUCGUAAAACUCUGUUGUAGGAGAAGAACAAAUUGUAGAGUAACUGCUACAGUCUUGACGGUAUCUUACCAGAAAGCCACGGCUAACUACGUGCCAGCAGCCGCGGUAAUACGUAGGUGGCAAGCGUUGUCCGGAUUUAUUGGGCGUAAAGGGGGCGCAGGCUGCUUCUUAAGUCUGAUGUGAAAGCCCACGGCUUAACCGUGGAAGUGCAUUGGAAACUGGGAAGCUUGAGUACAGAAGAGGAAAGUGGAACUCCAUGUGUAGCGGUGGAAUGCGUAGAUAUAUGGAAGAACACCAGUGGCGAAAGCGACUUUCUGGUCUGUCACUGACGC